GAUGAACGCUGGCGGCGUGCCUAAUACAUGCAAGUCGAGCGAACAGACGAGGAGCUUGCUCCUCUGACGUUAGCGGCGGACGGGUGAGUAACACGUGGAUAACCUACCUAUAAGACUGGGAUAACUUCGGGAAACCGGAGCUAAUACCGGAUAAUAUAUUGAACCGCAUGGUGCAAUAGUGAAAGACGGUUUUGCUGUCACUUAUAGAUGGAUCCGCGCCGCAUUAGCUAGUUGGUAAGGUAACGGCUUACCAAGGCAACGAUGCGUAGCCGACCUGAGAGGGUGAUCGGCCACACUGGAACUGAGACACGGUCCAGACUCCUGCGGGAGGCCGCAGUAGGGAAUCUUACGCAAUGGGCGAAAGCCUGACGGAGCAACGCCGCGUGAGUGAUGAAGGUCUUCGGAUCGUAAAACUCUGUUAGUAGGGAAGAACAAAUGUGUAAGUAACUAUGCACGUCUUGACGGUACCUAAUCAGAAAGCCACGGCUAACUACGUG
rnacentral:rRNA from 1 species